GAUGAACGCUGGCGGCGUACCUAAUACAUGCAAGUCGAGCGAACAGACGAGGAGCUUGCUCCUCUGACGUUAGCGGCGGACGGGUGAGUAACACGUGGAUAACCUACCUAUAAGACUGGGAUAACUUCGGGAAACCGGAGCUAAUACCGGAUAAUAUAUUGAACCGCAUGGUUCAAUAGUGAAAGACGGUUUUGCUGUCACUUAUAGAUGGAUCCGCGCCGCAUUAGCUAGUUGGUAAGGUAACGGCUUACCAAGGCGACGAUGCGUAGCCGACCUGAGAGGGUGAUCGGCCACACUGGAACUGAGACACGGUCCAGACUCCUACGGGAGGCAGCAGUGGGGAAUCUUCCGCAAUGGGCGAAAGCCUGACGGAGCAACGCCGCGUGAGUGAUGAAGGUCUUCGGAUCGUAAAACUCUGUUAUUAGGGAAGAACAAAUGUGUAAGUAACUAUGCACGUCUUGACGGUACCUAAUCAGAAAGCCACGGCUAACUACGUG
rnacentral:rRNA from 1 species